rnacentral:rRNA from 1 species
AGAGUUUGAUCCUGGCUCAGGACGAACGCUGGCGGCGUGCUUAACACAUGCAAGUCGAGCGGUAAGGCCCUUUCGGGGGUACACGAGCGGCGAACGGGUGAGUAACACGUGGGUGACCUGCCCUCCACUCUGGGAUAAGCCCGGGAAACUGGGUCUAAUACCGGAUAGGACCACUGAUCGCAUGGUUGGUGGUGGAAAGUUUUUUCGGUGGGGGAUGGGCCCGCGGCCUAUCAGCUUGUUGGUGGGGUGAUGGCCUACCAAGGCGGUGACGGGUAGCCGGCCUGAGAGGGCGACCGGCCACACUGGGACUGAGACACGGCCCAGACUCCUACGGGAGGCAGCAGUGGGGAAUAUUGCGCAAUGGGCGGAAGCCUGACGCAGCGACGCCGCGUGGGGGAUGACGGCCUUCGGGUUGUAAACCUCUUUCGCCAGGGACGAAGAGCAAUUGACGGUACCUGGAGAGGAAGCACCGGCCAACUACGUGCCAGCAGCCGCGGUAACACGUAGGGUGCGAGCGUUGUCCGGAAUUAUUGGGCGUAAAGAGCUCGUAGGCGGUGUGUCGCGUCGGCCGUGAAAACUUGGGGCUUAACUCUGAGCGUGCGGUCGAUACGGGCAUCACUUGAGUUCGGCAGGGGAGACUGGAAUUCCUGGUGUAGCGGUGAAAUGCGCAGAUAUCAGGAGGAACACCGGUGGCGAAGGCGGGUCUCUGGGCCGAUACUGACGCUGAGGAGCGAAAGCGUGGGGAGCGAACAGGAUUAGAUACCCUGGUAGUCC